rnacentral:rRNA from 1 species
AGUGAACGCUGGCGGUAGGCCUAACACAUGCCAGUCGAACGGCAGCACAGUAAGAGCUUGCUCUUACGGGUGGCGAGUGGCGGACGGGUGAGGAAUACAUCGGAAUCUACUUUUUCGUGGGGGAUAACGUAGGGAAACUUACGCUAAUACCGCAUACGACCUACGGGUGAAAGCAGGGGAUCUUCAGACCUUGCGCGAUUGAAUGAGCCGAUGUCGGAUUAGCUAGUUGGCGGGGUAAAGGCCCACCAAGGCGACGAUCCGUAGCUGGUCUGAGAGGAUGGUCAGCCACACUGGAACUGAGACACGGUCCAGACUCCUACGGGAGGCAGCAGUGGGGAAUAUUGGACAAUGGGCGCAAGCCUGAUCCAGCCAUACCGCGUGGGUGAAGAAGGCCUUCGGGUUGUAAAGCCCUUUUGUUGGGAAAGAAAAGCAGCAGGUUAAUACCCCGCUGUUCUGACGGUACCCAAAGAAUAAGCACCGGCUAACUUCGUG